rnacentral:rRNA from 1 species
AUACGUAGGGGGCAAGCGUUAUCCGGAAUUACUGGGUGUAAAGGGAGCGUAGGCGGCAAUGCAAGUCAGAUGUGAAAGCCCGAGGCUCAACCUCGGGACUGCAUUUGAAACUGUAUAGCUAGAGUACAGGAGAGGAAAGUGGAAUUCCUAGUGUAGCGGUGAAAUGCGUAGAUAUUAGGAGGAACACCAGUGGCGAAGGCGGCUUUCUGGACUGUAACUGACGCUGAGGCUCGAAAGCGUGGGGAGCGAACAGGAUUAGAUACCCUGGUAGUCCACGCUGUAAACGAUGAAUGCUAGGUGUCGGCUCGUAGAGGGUCGGUGCCGCAGUAAACACAUUAAGCAUUCCACCUGGGGAGUACGAUCGCAAGAUUGAA